AUAUUAUUAAGCGGAGGAAAAGAAACUAACAAGGAUUCCCUCAGUAACGGCGAGUGAAGCGGGAAUAGCUCAAAGUGAAAAACGGAAACCAUUCAGGUUUUCGAGUUGUAAACUAAAGACGUGUUAUCAGCGUGUGACUCGAGUAUAACUCUUUUGGAACAAGGGAUCAUAGAGGGUGAGAAUCCCGUCCUUGACUCGAAGCUCACCGCGUACGAUGCACGUUCAAAGAGUCGCGUUGUUUGGGAUUGCAGCGCUAAAUGGGUGGUAAACUUCAUCUAAAGCUAAAUAUUGGCGGGAGACCGAUAGCGCACAAGUA
rnacentral:rRNA from 1 species